rnacentral:lncRNA from 1 species
GCCUUCUCUAACAAAGAGCUUCGAUUCUUUUGUUCUAUUUCAAGAGAAUUUCCGCCUGCAUAUAUCAAGACAAAUUAAGAUUUUAAUCUGCUUGCUCUGGAACCAUACACAUGGGCUCGAUUACCGAAUAUCCAUAUGUAUUAUUAAUGUUUUGUAUGCUCCAUUAAUUGGCAUUAUGUUUUUCUGGUCUGUGCGUACGUUCGUCCGUUCGUCUAUUUGUUUGUCCGUUUGUCCAGCUUCAAGUUAAAUCAACUUGAAACUUAGUACACA